UAUUUAUUAGAUUAUAUUUUUUGCUUGUUAUUUUAAUUAUUUAAUAGAAAUAAUUUUUUUGUUUAUGUGUCUUAGUAUAUUUUGUUGAAUUGAUUUUUUUUAUUAUAGUUUAUUAGUAAUGUAAUUGGAUUUUGAAAUAAUUAUUUAAGUUUAAUAAAGUAAAUUUUGUUUGUUGUACCUUUUGUAUCAGGGUUUAUCAAAAUUUUUGUAUUUAUAUACUUGUCUCGAUUUAGGUUGAUUUAAAAACAACUUAUAGUUAAUGUAUCAUAAUUAUUGUUGAGUUGUUUUUAGAAAUGAAAUGUUAAUCGUUUCCUAAGAUAUCUAGUUUCUCAAGAAAAAAUUUAAUUUUUUAAAGUUUAUUGUUUUUAUUUAAUUUUUUAAUUAAAAAUAUUUACUUAUUUAUUCUUUAGGGGAUAAGCUCUAAAGUUUAAUAAUCUAUAAUUUUUUUAUUUUAUGGAAAAUAGUAGGCUUUAGACCAGCUAUCUAUUGGAUUACGUUUUAGUUCAUUAUUUUUUAUUUUGAUUUUAUAAUUAUUUUAGGUUUUGUAUUGGGAUUUUUAAUUAAAUUUUAUAAUUUUUGUAAUAAUGAUUGAAUUAGUAUAUUAAUUUGUUUAUAAUAUUUUCUUUUUAAAAUUUAUUAUAAGGAACUAGGCAAAAUUGAUUUCCGCCUGUUUAUCAAAAACAUGUCCUCUUGAUAAUAUUAUGAGGUCUGGCCUGCUCACUGACGAGUAUUUUAAAGAGCCGCGGUAAUUUGACCGUGCAAAGGUAGCAUAAUCAUUAGUCUCUUAAUUAGGGGCUGGAAUGAAUGGCUUGACGAGAAAUCUACUGUCUCUUAAUAAAAUUUUGAAUUUAACUUUUAAGUCAAAAGGCUUAAAUUUUUCUUUAGGACGAGAAGACCCUAUAGAGCUUGACAUUUUAUUUUUAUAUAAUUUUUAGUUAGUCUUUUUAUAUUUAAUGAUAAUGUUUUGUUGGGGUGACAUGAAGAAUAAUUAAACUCUUCGUUAUUAAAUCAUUGAUUUAUGUGUAUAGAAUGAUCCAUAAUUUAUGAUCAUAAGAUUAAGUUACCUUAGGGAUAACAGCGUAAUUAUUUUCGAGAGCUCAUAUCAACAAAUUAGAUUGCGACCUCGAUGUUGGAUUAAGAAAAAUUUUGGGUGCAGUAGCCCAGUGAUUAGGUCUGUUCGACCUUUAAAUUCUUACGUGAUCUGAGUUCAGACCGGCGUGAGCCAGGUCGGUUUCUAUCCUAAGUAUAUUUAACCACAUUAGUACGAAAGGACCAUGUGGUUAGAAUAUUUUUUAUGUUAUUGAUUAAUAUUAAUAAAUU
rnacentral:rRNA from 1 species